GUGAAUCCGGGCGACGGAAUUCAGAAUCGACGGCGUUCGCGCGUCGUCGGUUCGAUAUUUCCGCCGCCGCUCAAUUUAACGGACGUCGCGACCCGUUCGGUGUCGGUCUGCAGGAGACGUGCGAAAGUUCGUGGGCGUCGGUCGGGUUUCGGCUCGGUCGGCGUUCGCGAGUGCGCGUUUUUUUUCUGGCCGACUCGCCGGACGGUAAGCGAAGCGGUGGUCGCGGCGGCCUCUUGUUAGCGCCGUCGCGAGACCGGUCUGCGACGAAUCUUCGGGCCUCUUUCCGACCCGUCUUGAAACACGGACCAAGGAGUCUAACGUGCGCGCGAGUCGCGGGGUGUCGAGCGGCUGGCGGCGUUCGUUCGCGGGCGUCGUCGGCCGUUCGUUACAAUACGAAACCCGUCUCGUUUUACGAAAGGCGCAAUGAAAGUGAAUUUUGGGGAAGAUGACGUUACCGAGUUCACGUUCCGCGCUCUCGAAGCGCGGCCGGUCGUCCGCAUUCCCAGGGCGUCCCAAUGGCCCGGCGGCGUUGCGGAUCGUCGUUCCUUCGGGGGCGGCGGU
rnacentral:rRNA from 1 species